AACGAGACCGGCUUUAUUUUUCUAAUUGGAAUUCCUAUUUUAUUAUUUGUUUUCUUAGGAAUUUGAAGUAAUCGCACAAAUUAAGCUCUUGCAGUCCUCAUGUAACAGCUAUUGCAUGUCAGCAGAUGAGAAAUUCGUGCAGUGGUUUAGGAGGCAGCGGCAUUUAAGUGAUGAGGAGAGGUAGGGUCUCAGCCCAGCUGGCGAAGCAGCUUUUCUUGCCCCGCAGGCAGGUUCAGGUUCUCUCAGCCUUGAGCUCUGCGCUGCCAGGAGCUGCUCCCGGAGAGUGGAAAUACACCCGCACAGAGCUGCGCUCCUCCUUGUGGGGAUGCCACCCUCUGGGGCGUGGGAAUGGCCCAGGGCUUCUCAAAUAUGGCCACUCUGAGAUAUUUAACUGAUGGUGUUGCCUGUUCUGCAGUUUCCGGCUUUCACGCGAAAUUGAAGGAGCUGUUGACAAGAGUGUCGCAUCGGCCAAAGCUCAGAGGAGCGUGGUGAAGAGAUUCAGCCUGCCGUUCCUGGGCUUGGGGGUGAGCGCCCACAGCACACCCGUCAACGCGCAGCCCAAACCUGCUCCAGGUGGGAGCUCUGGGGACAGCACCGUCACCAUCGUCCCUCCCACCGACACUGCCGAGGAGCCUCAGCACAAGUGCUCCAAGAAGUGCCCCGACUCCGUGACUCCCAUUGCAACCAAAGACGUGCCGCCAGUCCUGCCAGUUUACAACCAACAGAACGGAGAGAGCUGCAUCAUCCGGACCAGCGUAGAGGAGGACAGAAGUGGCAACAUCUACAGGAGCAUCCUGCUGACUAACCAAGAGAAGGCUCCUGCUGUCAUCCAGAGAGCCCUGGAGAAGCACAGCCUGCAGUGUGGCUCGGCCGAGGAUUACGAGCUGGUACAGAUCAUCUCCGAGGACAAAGGUGGGGAAGCAGAACUCUGCUGCUGCUGCUUGAACGGUGCUGCUGCAUUUUGACGGCAAGAGUGACACGCGAAGCGACGUCAGGAACGCCACGGACACGUUGUCACAGCUGCCGGUGAGAAUAAACCCCUAAGGCUGAGUGGUGCGCCAACUCACGCUGGCUCUGCUCCCUCUCUUGCAGAGCUGGCGAUCCCACCCAAGGCGAACGUGUUCUACGCCAUGAACACCCAGGCCAACUUCCAUUUCAUCCUGAGGAGAAAAGCUGCAGCACAGGAGGAGCCUGCGCCCCAUGGAUUUUAAUGGUUGAGCCUUCUAUAGGAUUUACUGCUUAUAUUAUAACUAUGGAAACUUUUUUUCCUCCAGGUUUAGUCGGGAGUUGAUAUAUUUCAAUAUGUGACCUGUAUCUAAUGUUUGAGCUUUGUAUAAUAUUUAAUAUUUAUAUAACAAGUCUAUUACCUUUUUUCCAGUUUUUGUCUGCAGUUCAUGUAUUGUAAUACUUGAUGUUUUUAUCAUAUUUAAUCUUUACAUACUUGCAUAGAAACAUUCAUUAGUAUAUAACCCUUUUUCCACUAAAUUCUGCUUGGAGUUACUAUAUUUCAGUAGCUUAGCUUUACAGAAUAUUUGAGCUUUGUAUAAUAUUUAAUAUCUUUAGAAUAAGUACAUAACAUUUUUUCCACUAAUUUCUAAUUGGAGUUAAU